GACGAACCGUGCGAACGUUGUUCGGAAUCACUGGGCUUAAAGGGUGCGUAGGCGGGCGAUCAAGUCAGGGGUGAAAUCCUCCAGCUUAACUGGAGAACUGCCUUUGAUACUGGUCAUCUUGAGUGCGGUAGGGGAGACUGGAAUUCCUGGUGUAGCGGUGAAAUGCGCAGAUAUCAGGAGGAACACCGGUGGCGAAGGCGGGUCUCUGGGCCGUAACUGACGCUGAGGAGCGAAAGCAUGGGGAGCGAACAGG
rnacentral:rRNA from 1 species